GACGAACGCUGGCGGCGUGCUUAACACAUGCCAGUCGAACGGAAAGGCCCUGCUUUUGUGGGGUGCUCGAGUGCCGAAGGCGGGAGUAUCACGUGUGGAACCUGCCCUUGUCUUUGGGAUAACUUCAGGAAACUGCGGCUAAUACCGGAGAGGAUCUCCUGCUCCAUGGUGGUGGAUGGAAAGUUUCGGCGGUUGGGGAUGGACUCGCUGCUUAUCAGCUGGUUGGUGGGGUAGGGGCUGACCAAGGCUUUGACGGGUAGCCGGCAUGAGAGGGUGAACGGCGACAAUGCGCCUGAGGUAGGGAGCAGACUCCUACGGGAGGCAGCAGUGGGGAGUAUUACACAAUAGGCGGAAGCGUGAUGCGGCAACGCCGCGUGCGGAAUGCCGGGUUUCGGGUUGUGAACCGAUUUCGCCGGUGCCGAAGCGAGCGUGACGGUACUGAGUAAAGAAGCACCGGCUAACUACGUG
rnacentral:rRNA from 1 species